AUGCAUCUGUUUGACAGACCUGGAGCAGCUCCCGUCUGCUGCUAAGGUUUCUGCUAGAGAUGCAAGAAAAAGUGUCCUCGCGCUUUCUGUCUGUCUGGUUGUGGCAGUUAAGAUUGAAUAGGGGAAUACAGGG
rnacentral:snoRNA from 1 species